GAGAGAGAGAGAGAGAUGGGAGAAGGGAGGGAGGGAGAAGCAAAGAAAAACAAGACAACACAACGACGGCGAAGAGUUACUUUCUCAACCCCCAGCCCAGCUUCCCCUUUCAACUCUCUCAUUUUCUC
rnacentral:miRNA from 1 species